AAUUAAUCGCAAUAACGGUGACUAUUUUUAGACAACUAAUCGUCAUCCAAAUUUCAUAAUCGUGACAGCCCUAAUCUUACAAUCACUUCCAG